GUGGGGAAUAUUGGACAAUGGGGGCAACCCUGAUCCAGCAAUGCCGCGUGUGUGAAGAAGGCCUGCGGGUUGUAAAGCACUUUCAGUGGGGAAGAAAAGCUCGAGGUUAAUAACCUCGGGUCUUGACGUUACCCAAAGAAGAAGCACCGGCUAACUCCGUGCCAGCAGCCGCGGUAAUACGGAGGGUGCGAGCGUUAAUCGGAAUUACUGGGCGUAAAGCGCACGUAGGCGGUUAGGUAAGUCGGAUGUGAAAGCCCUGGGCUUAACCUGGGAACUGCAUUCGAUACUGCCUGGCUAGAGUAUGGGAGAGGGAAGCGGAAUUUCCGGUGUAGCGGUGAAAUGCGUAGAUAUCGGAAGGAACACCAAUGGCGAAGGCAGCUUCCUGGCCCAAUACUGACGCUCAGGUGCGAAAGCGUGGGGAUCAAACAGGAUUAGAAACCCUUGUAGUCC
rnacentral:rRNA from 1 species